rnacentral:rRNA from 1 species
UAAAUUGAGAGUUUGAUCCUGGCUCAGGACGAACGCUGGCGGCGUGCCUAAUACAUGCAAGUCGAAC